rnacentral:rRNA from 1 species
UACGAAGGACCCAAGCGUUAUCCGGAUUUAUUGGGUUUAAAGGGUGCGUAGGCGGGUUAUUAAGUCAGUGGUGAAAGCCUGCAGCUUAACUGUAGAAUUGCCAUUGAUACUGAUGAUCUUGAGUAUGAUUGAGGUGGGCGGAAUGUGUCAUGUAGCGGUGAAAUGCUUAGAUAUGACACAGAACACCGAUUGCGAAGGCAGCUCACUAAGCCAUAACUGACGCUGAUGCACGAAAGCGUGGGGAGCAAACAGG